GGAGGCGCCCGCCGGCAUAAUGGCGGGCGGGGACGGGGGGAGCUGUGGCCGCCUCACAGCUGCAAGUCCCAGGGAGCGGGAACGACCUCCUGCACCAGGCUCCCCUACUCACCACCGCGGGAGGCGGAGGAGGAGGGGGCGGACGGCGGAGACGAUGUCGAUACCGGGGCGGAGGGCGGGAAGCGAGACGGGCUCCGCGUCCCUUCCCUCAGGCGGGGCCGCCGCCGCCGCUUCCCUCAGGGGCGGCCGCCAUUUUGUGUGGGCGCGGGGAGCGGGGCUGCCCCUCGUGAGGCGCGGAGCCCGCUCUGCUGAGCGCCUUAACCCUGGCUUUGCCCGCGGUGUUGCGGUGUCACCUUGUUGCAAAAAAUUUAGUAUAUCAAAAUUGCCAUAAAUCAGGGUGUUCUUUGGUGUAAGAUCUUCGUGUGCUUUCGAGCCUAAAUCAGCGGAACAGGCAGCAGCCAGCAUCCCCUAGUUAAGGACAUCCAGGAACUAACAAGCUACAAGGAUGCAGUAAAUCAAGAUGAUGAUGUAUGUCUACGCACACAUUGCUAACUUGGCAAAAUACAGUCCAUGUAUCCUACAGCUGAACUGUACUCAUUAUAGUACUAAAAAUCAUGCCUACAGGUCAAGACCCUUCUCCUGAGCAUGUGUAGAAGUUCACUGGGGUUAUGUAGCUUGUAUGGAAAUUCCUAAUCAAUCAUAAUACAGGGGCUGUGCUUGGAAACUUAGUAACUCUGGAUUUCUGCCUGUAAAUAGUAGUGUGAAAAGUCCAGUGGCCGUGCUUCAUUCACGGAACACCACUGAGCACCCAGCCUUGUGCAGCUCUGAGAUAAAUAAUCAGCAUCUCUUUCUGGUGUGUCAUUACUGGCUUGUUGCACACCUGGUUACGAAUCCAAUUCUGAGGGCAACAACCUCACAGCCCUGAGUCCUGACUGGAUAAGCAUCCGGAGCCAGAAUGAUGUACUGGGAUGUAUGGUAAUGACAGGGCAGCCCAGGCUACACACAAGUCUUGGUGCUUUGCAUGUAAACAGAGGCCCUGUGGUUGUGAAAAGAAACACAAAUCUUUGCCUUCCACAGUCACAUCCUCUCUGUGAACACAGUGAAGUAUUGUCCAGUGUUUGUUAAGACUCAUUAGUCCAUCCCUAUUUAUCUGCAGAGCCCUCUGCUGUGACAGUUCUAAGCAUUGAUGUCCACUGCCUAUGAAAAUAUGUAGUGAACAGAUACUGGAGUCCAGGCCAGAAAGAAACUUCAUUUAAUGCUCCAAUCACAAAACCAGCUGAGCUGUAGCAGCAGAAAAGCACUUUGUCUAACCUAAGGCUUGUGUGUGUCCCAGCUGUCAAGAAAUAAAGAACUGAGAUGGAAACCCUCAUUAAUAUCCUUAUUAGACUUUGUAUUUGCUUGCUCUUCUUGUCUUCUUUAUCUAGAAUUCUCCAUUCCUAAGCCAAGCAUUAGGGCUUUCUACCAUUUCUUCUCUGGAGCAAAUGUCAUUUUUCCACCUUAGAGUCUCCACUUUAUAUCAAGUCUGCUGAAAACAUAUUGUUAUGUAUUAUUUCUUGACAUAUUUCUUUUUCCUAUUACUUGUUUCUCCAACCGCAUUGUUUAACUGUCUGCAUAGAGGGUACAGGAGCUAUUUCUGCAUUCCUGACUCGCCUAAAUUCCUGUUAAACACAAUGGAUGUUCUGAGUGUGCAAGGAUGGGGAUAAAAGUUGUGUUCUGCAUUCUGCUUUUCUAAAGUGGCAUCACUUACAAUUAAAACUUCAAAGAGACAAGCAGCAAAUACAGCACAGGUAAUUAUAGGAUAUCUCUAUCACAUACCAACACUAAAUAUAUCUUAGAUGAAAAUCUGGUAAACAGUUGAGCAAUUGGAGAGUUAUAAAGUGUUUUUCUCUAAAUAGACAUGUUGUGAAAAAAAACCAUUCUAACUAGUAAUUUAUACCGUGGCUUCUCUUGAAUUUUAAUGAGUUUAUAUGCAUAUAACCAUUUUUUUUCCCUGAGAAAAUAAAAUAGAGUAUUCUGUGAUAAAGAGACUAGGUUAAGAUUUGUUUUGUAGCUGAGAUUUUACUUACAAACCUCAUCUCUCCUAGAAAAAAAGACUGUGGUUCCCAUUUCUGAAGAAGACCAGAAAGCAAGUUUUCAAGCCUUAAGACUGCAUAAGACCUACUUAGAGGUCAUAAGUGAUUUCCUAAGUACAGUUAAACAAUUACCACUUUACCAGAAAAGAGAAAAAUGCAGUGAUUUUAAAAGACUGUUGAAAGCCACAGUAGAUCCCCAGAAAAGACUGCACAUCCCAUGAUCCCCGAUGGAAGGACAGCUCCAGCCUCUCAAACACGUGGCUUUGAUCAGCUCUGCACAAGUCAAGAAGUGGUUAAGCAAUGUACUCCAAAACUUUUUAUUCUCAUCCCACAUUUCUUCAGCACUGAGGGCUGCUCAGCUCUAGAUUUUUAAUUUAAUCUGUUUUAUAAAUGGCUGAUUGCAAAACCGUGGGGAGUUAGGCUAAGUUCUGAAUUUUCUUAUGACGUGGGAAAAUUCAGCCUAGAUCUCAAAUUCUCAUUUCAUCUUCUAUGAGUACAAGUGAAUAUUCCUGACUGACAACCAACCAGCUGGGAUGUGUUGUCUUAAGGCACCUGAUAAAUUAUAGACCCUGCUCCAAAACUUUGUAAAUGUAUUAAUACUGCUGCUGCAAUUGCAUAAAAAGCUUGUUUUGGGGAAAAGGGAUGCAUCAGCCCCAUUCUGUGUAUCCAAAGCUUGAAGUUUUCCAACAGGUAAGUGAACAAGAGUGAGGAAAUGGAAAGAGUUUAUGCAGAA